AAACUCCCAACCCUUUGUGAACCUUACCACUGUUGCCUCGGCGUCAGCUGCGGCUACCCUGGAGUGCUACCAUGGCACCCACCUACCUGGUAGGUGCUACCCGGUAGUCACCCUGUAGUCCGCGUAUAGCGCGCCGGUGGACCAAUAAAUUCUGUUUUUACCUGAGAAUCUCUGAAUGCUUCAACUAAAUUAGUUAAAACUUUCAACAACGGAUCUCUUGGUUCUGGCAUCGAUGAAGAACGCAGCGAAAUGCGAUAAGUAAUGUGAAUUGCAGAAUUCAGUGAAUCAUCGAAUCUUUGAACGCACAUUGCGCCCAUUAGUAUUCUAGUGGGCAUGCCUAUUCGAGCGUCAUUUCAACCCUUAAGCCCUAGUUGCUUAGCGUUGGGACUCUGAGCCUUUACGGCCCAGUUCCUUAAAGUUAGUGGCGGAGUUAUAGCACACUCUCAGCGUAGUAAUUUCUAUCUCGCUUUUGUGGUGGCUGUGGCGACUUGCCGUAAAACCCCUAAUUAUCUAGUGGUUGACCUCGGAUUAGGUAGGAAUACCCGCUGAACUUAAGCAUAUCAAUAAGCGGAGGAAAAGAAACCAACAGGGAUUGCCCUAGUAACGGCGAGUGAAGCGGCAACAGCUCAAAUUUGAAAUCUGGCCCUUGCGGUCCGAAUUGUAAUUUGUAGAGGAUGCUUUUGGUGCGGUGCCUUCUGAGUUCCCUGGAACGGGACGCCAGAGAGGGUGAGAGCCCCGUACGGUUGGACACCUAGCCUAUAUAUAGCUCCUUCGACGAGUCGAGUAGUUUGGGAAUGCUGCUCUAAAUGGGAGGUAAAUUUCUUCUAAAGCUAAAUACCGGCCAGAGACCGAUAGCGCACAAGUAGAGUGAUCGAAAGAUGAAAAGCACUUUGAAAAGAGGGUUAAAUAGCACGUGAAAUUGUUGAAAGGGAAGCGUUUGCGACCAGACUUUUUCCAGGCGGAUCAUCCGGUGUUCUCACCGGUGCACUUCGUCUGGUUUAGGCCAGCAUCGGUUUUCUUAGGGGGAUAAAGGCUUGGGGAACGUAGCUCUUUCGGGAGUGUUAUAGCCCCUUGCGUAAUACCCCUCGGGGGACCGAGGAACGC
rnacentral:rRNA from 1 species